GUCUAACAAUUUCCCAGCUGAUGCCAAAGCUGCUGAUCAGAGUCUACACCUUAAGAAAUAAGACUCUGAGAAUUUAUAGAAACAAACAUUAGAAGGCAGGAAUGUGGAGAGAAGAAAGCUACCUGACAAGGGAAUCUCAGGAUACAAGGAAAACACCAAGGAUGUGAGAAUGUCUUCGCUGCAUUAUUAUUUUUCAGCAUUGCCUCUGCUGACUUCAUGGGAGGAAUGGUGUUUCUUCUUCUCUCCCAUGUCAUGGAAGACACUCCUGAUGGCAUGUCUGUAGGUCUGUAGGAAAGAAUAAUCACCUCAGUAGCUUAGUGUGUGUAUGUGUGUGUGUGUGUCUGACACACUGUAGGUACAUAAUAAAGAUUUGAAAAUAUGAGUUUUUUUUAAUCCAAGCAGUGCCAUGUGUUUACUUGGAUUAGUAAUUGUACCAAUCUACAUUUUAAAGGUAAAACUAGCCAUUCAUUCUUUUGUUUCAGCAGUUGCCUAAUUUUAUUGUUUAAGUAUAAUGUGAGUGAAGGAAACUUCCUAGUUAGAAAUCUAUGAAUAUUAACUUCUUGUCUUCACUAACCAGAGUUGUUCUCAACUCAUAACACGUGGUUUGGUAAACCAUUUGCAAUGUAAACAUAGCAGAUUUUACUUGUAGUUUCAUAAUUUAGGCAGGUUGGCUCUGUAUUAUUUCUAGAAUCACAGGUAUCUGGAUGAAGAAUCACCAUUUUGUCAUUAGAGAUUACAACAAAUGUAGUUUAUUCUUUUUACCGGUAAUAUCAAUGUAAGCAAAAAUUAUACUUUUUAGCUAAGCAUGUUAUCUUCCCAGACUGGAGGAGUUAUUAUCUUCCAUAUUUUCUCUAUCUUCCACUAUACAAAGGGAAAAUAGAUUGGAAUUGUACUGGCCAUUGCUUUGUAAAGAGAAUAUAAAUAGCAAUAAAACAUAAAGAAAAUGACUGACACGUGAAUUUUAUCGAAUUUAAAAAAUUUUGUUUAGGCCAAGCCACAGAGUGGGCGAAGAUCUAGGAAAACAUAUAUUCGACUGUUAAAGAAAAAGAUAUUUAUAGCAUUUGUUAAAGAUGGUAAGGCAGACUUUAUCUAGAGGGACUAUCACAAUGAGGUUUUGCAGUAGGAGUGAGAGAUUGGGCUUACUCUAAUACAAGGAAAAAAGAAAAUUCAUAGCUAAGGACCAAGGUGGGUGUCACUAGAUGUACAAACUCUAGGAGUAAACAUAAAAGCUGAUAGGGAAUUCUGACUAAACUGGGUUGACAGAAUUUUUGCAGAAGGGAGGCCAGGUGAUAAGAUAUUGAGAGUGGGAGAUAAGGAAUUUGAUUAGAUAUAAUAAGUGG
rnacentral:lncRNA from 10 species